rnacentral:rRNA from 1 species
GACGAACGCUGGCGGCGUGCUUAACACAUGCAAGUCGAACGGCAAGGCCCUGCUUUUGUGGGGUGCUCGAGUGGCGAAGGGGUGAGUAACACGUGAGUAACCUGCCCUUGACUUUGGGAUAACUUCAGGAAACUGGGGCUAAUACCGGAUAGGAGCUCCUGCUGCAUGGUGGGGGUUGGAAAGUUUGGGCGGUUGGGGAUGGACUCGCGGCUUAUCAGCUUGUUGGUGGGGUAGUGGCUUACCAAGGCUUUGACGGGUAGCCGGCCUGAGAGGGUGACCGGCCACAUUGGGACUGAGAUACGGCCCAGACUCCUACGGGAGGCAGCAGUGGGGAGUAUUGCACAAUGGGCGGAAGCCUGAUGCAGCAACGCCGCGUGCGGGAUGACGGCCUUCGGGUUGUAAACCGCUUUCGCCUGUGACGAAGCGUGAGUGACGGUAAUGGGUAAAGAAGCACCGGCUAACUACGUG